rnacentral:lncRNA from 1 species
UAAAAUUAGAGAAGCACAGCCGUAACGGAUCAUGUUUCACUCUCUUCCUAACACUGAAGAAGAUCAGAAAACAACUGUAGCCAUCUCUCAGAGGAUCCAGUACUUUAGGACAUAGAGGAAACUGUCAGGCCUCCUGCAUGACACCAGGGAGCUGAGGCUUUGUGGAUUGGAUUACUGCACCCAGUGAGACACACCUGCUGCCUGUCAAACCAACUUCUCUUCCUUGUUCCUCUGUAAUUCUUUUUCCUCCUGCACAUGGUUACAGUGAGAUGCUAGACCCCUCAUUCAACUACCUGCUGCCUAUUGAGCAACUCCUCUCGCUUACCCUGAGGCCCCCGUUCUUCCAAGCUAUUAGCUUAAAAACAGCAGA